AGUGCGCUAUCGGAUACCGAGUUGGCGAGACGAUUCUCUAACUAAGAGUUACCUACUGAGUCACCGACUGAGGCGGUGCAGUUAGCUGAGCAACAAGUAGGCGUGGCGACUUCGCCGCGCCACAAGUUGAUCCUCCGAGUCUACUUAAGACCACGCGCAUCGGAAGUCUUCUACAUUAUCGAUCCUGGUUCUUCUCAGGCAGCUGGACUAUUUCUUCGUAGCGGCCAACGGCACCAUGGGUUGAUCUAAAACUGAAUUAGUAGUAGUGUAGCUUCCACGGAUUAUUUAUUUUUUUAUAAAUAGGGUAUUAUAAAAAAAUAAGUAGUCCGUGGAAGCUACGACUUUAGUUUAACUUUUUUUUUCACUUUUGGAUCACACGAAAUAAAAUUGCAAGCUGAGUGUUGUAACGCAGGUGUAACGUUAUAUCAUUCUCUAGUGGAAGCUUCGAUAUCGAUCUCCUGUAUUUGAAAUGCCAUGUCACUGGAAAUUCAAAAUGUUAUAACCUGGAUUAUGAUCAUUGCCCCCUAAAGUCGCGAAUCCAGCACGGCUUAAAUGGGUGGAUACCCAACAAUGACACUGAUUGCAAUAACAUCCAUGCAUUUAACAUGCAGAUCUGCAAUCAUUAUUCUCUUUCUAAAAACUGCAGUUGUUAAUUCACAAAUGCAGUUAAGAAAGACUAGGAUUUAUUAAUUGGAUUUUUCGCUUAAAUAAACGGUAUCGCUGUGUUUACGUAGCGUUAAGAUUAAAUAGAGGAAGCGUUAAUGUGACCAUCAUUUUCAUGUUUCUUUCUAUUGCCUCUGGUCUUUGUGACACGGUCCGCAUUCAAUAACCGACAACAACAAAAAACUCACCUGGACAAACGAGUUAAAGUUGUUAAUCGGAUAAAAUAUUAGAUUAAGUCUUAUUUAGUUUGUAAGAAAUGAAAUAUCAAAAGUCCUUGGACUAAACGAACAAAUAAAACGUCAAAAAAUUA